rnacentral:rRNA from 1 species
AUGCACGCUGGCGGCGUGCCUAAUACAUGCAAGUCGAGCGAACAGACGAGGAGCUUGCUCCUCUGACGUUAGCGGCGGACGGGUGAGUAACACGUGGAUAACCUACCUAUAAGACUGGGAUAACUUCGGGAAACCGGAGCUAAUACCGGAUAACAUGUUGAACCGCAUGGUUCAACAGUGAAAGACGGUCUUGCUGUCACUUAUAGAUGGAUCCGCGCCGCAUUAGCUAGUUGGUAAGGUAACGGCUUACCAAGGCAACGAUGCGUAGCCGACCUGAGAGGGUGAUCGGCCACACUGGAACUGAGACACGGUCCAGACUCCUACGGGAGGCAGCAGUAGGGAAUCUUCCGCAAUGGGCGAAAUCCUGACGGAGCAACGCCGCGUGAGUGAAGAAGGUCUUCGGAUCGUAAAACUCUGUUAUUAGGGAAGAACAAAUGUGUAAGUAACUAUGCACGUCUUGACGGUACCUAAUCAGAAAGCCACGGCUAACUACGUG